GAUCAGCUGGGAAAAAAUUGAAAAGUAGUUGUUUUAAUUAUUUCCCCUUUAUGUGGUUAAAAAGAAGAUGAAGAAGAUUCUUUAAGUUCUAGCAUUGACUGUUGAAAGCCACUUAUAUAAAAGGUGCCAAGAACUACAGGAUUCUUUCAUCUACUGCUUUGCUUCAGAGCUCAUGAGUCAAGACUCCCCGGCCUAUUUUUAGGCCAUUUCUUCAGAUCACACGGUGGGCAGGGUUUGUUUACUCUGGAUCAGAGCUGCUCUGGGAACUCUCCAUGCAGCCACCAGACACUAGAACAAAGACCAGUGAGGAAGGAUGACUGAAGUCCAGACAUUGAGCGUGCCUGGUGUGUGUCCCGGUGACAAAGGCAGCCGAACAGACCACAGGGACUGGGGCUGGAGCAGUACAUAGCCCGGGGACAUCCUCCUGCCUGGCUCAGCAGCUGGAAUGGUUGCUUUGGCUCAUCCAACAAAAGCAGAGAGGACGCAUCCGCCUGGGCGCCAUGCAAAGUUUAUUGGACACAGGAAGGUCAGCCAGUGCUCAAAGGGCUUCCCUCAUGCAGCCAUCAGCUCUGGCCCCAAGCCCCUGGAGGGCCUCAUUCAUUUAUUCUUUGCUCCCCAUGAUGUUCUGAGAGCAAGCCAAGGGCAGGAGCUCCGCCUUGCCCAUGUUCAUAACCCCAACUCUACCAC
rnacentral:lncRNA from 1 species